ACGUUUGAGGGCAGUCGGAGUGAACUGCUGCGGCAGUGCCUUUGCCUGGGUUAUUUCACCAAUGUAGCCAGGAGAUCUAUUGGGAAAUCUUUCUGCACCAUGGAUGGACAUGGGACCAGCGUUCUCAUUCACCCCUCAUCAUGUCUCUUUGGUCAAGAAUUGCAUCUGGAUUG